rnacentral:rRNA from 1 species
UACGAAGGGGGCUAGCGUUGCUCGGAAUCACUGGGCGUAAAGCGCACGUAGGCGGAUUGUUAAGUCAGGGGUGAAAUCCUGGAGCUCAACUCCAGAACUGCCUUUGAUACUGGCGAUCUCGAGUCCGGGAGAGGUGAGUGGAAUUGCGAGUGUAGAGGUGAAAUUCGUAGAUAUUCGCAAGAACACCAGUGGCGAAGGCGGCUCACUGGCCCGGAACUGACGCUGAGACGCGAAAGCGUGGGAGCAAACAGG